GACGAACGCUCGCGGCGUGCUUAACACAUGCAAGUCGAACGGAAAGGCCCUGCUUUUGUGGGGUGCUCGAGUGGCGAACGGGUGAGUAACACGUGAGUAACCUGCCCUUGACUUUGGGAUAACUUCAGGAAACUGGGGCUAAUACCGGAUAGGAGCUCCUGCUGCAUGGUGGGGGUUGGAAAGUUUCGGCGGUUGGGGAUGGACUCGCGGCUUAUCAGCUUGUUGGUGGGGUAGUGGCUUACCAAGGCUUUGACGGGUAGCCGGCCUGAGAGGGUGACCGGCCACAUUGGGACUGAGAUACGGCCCAGACUCCUACGGGAGGCAGCAGUGGGGAAUAUUGCACAAUGGGCGGAAGCCUGAUGCAGCAACGCCGCGUGCGGGAUGACGGCCUUCGGGUUGUAAACCGCUUUCGCCUGUGACGAAGCGUGAGUGACGGUAAUGGGUGAAGAAGCACCGGCUAACUACGUG
rnacentral:rRNA from 1 species